rnacentral:rRNA from 1 species
UUGAUGGAGAGUUUGAUCCUGGCUCAGGACGAACGCUGGCGGCGUGCUUAACACAUGCAAGUCGAACGAGGUUGAUCCGGUGGCAACACCGGUAAUACCUAGUGGCGAACGGGUGAGUAACACGUGAGCAACCUGCCCCGAAGACUGGGAUAACACCGGGAAACCGGUGCUAAUACCGGAUGCCCUCGAUGAGUCGCAUGGCUCGACGAGGAAAUGGAUUCUGCUUCGGGAGGGGCUCGCGGCCUAUCAGCUUGUUGGUGAGGUAACGGCUCACCAAGGCGACGACGGGUAGCUGGUCUGAGAGGACGAUCAGCCACACUGGGACUGAGACACGGCCCAGACUCCUACGGGAGGCAGC